GUUUACGGCCAUACCACCCUGAACGCGCCCAAUCUCGUCUGAUCUCGGAAGCUAAGCAGGGUUGGGCCUGGUUAGUACCUGGAUGGGAGAAAGAACCUUCCACUUGAAUGGGACUUUGAUGGAGAUGUGCAGC
rnacentral:rRNA from 1 species